CUUGGCUGCUGUGUUCCUCAUCAGGAACCCAACAGGGAUGAGGCGUGAGAGGCACACUCCAGAGCCCAGGGCAGCUGCACUCAGUGGUUUCUUUGCGCUGCCAUUGCAUUUGGAACCUGCUUCCCCCUCUGUUAACUGUCAACUCCUGGCCUCACCCUCGGACUGAGAAUCCACAUGAACAGCACACCUGGUAAGCACCGGACACAUGCUGCAGUUGGUGUCCACAUCCAGCCCCCUGGUUAGUGAAUUUCCUAGCUCUUCUUGUGGACUAUUAAAGGGCAACCCCACCCAGCCCUGGAGACCCUUUCCCACCACUCUCCCAACUUCCUCCCAAUCUAUAGGUCAGAUGCCACCUUCCUUUGCCUCGUCCUGUCUCCACAACUUACCCUUCUUUGAUGGAGUCUGCUCUCCUCUUCGGGCCUUCACUCUCUACAUGGAAUCAGUCUUACAGAAGGGGGGAGAUGCUAAGAGCCACAGCCAAAUAAUAUGAUGCAUGGCAUUUUUGGUUGAAAGGUGACGCCAGCAAGCCAUUGAGAUGAUAUGAUUAUGUUAAGAUCUGCAUUUAUAUGGAUAUUGGACUCCUGCUGUUCACCUCGGCCUGCUACAGGACUCCUGGAGAGUUCCCAUUGGUUGGGGAAGUGCGGUAGGAGGGAAUUCCGGGGGAGGGACUUCCUGUUGGGGUCCGGGAGAACGCCGCGUGGGUCGGUCAGCAAUCUUCCCGGGAGCAUAUGGGG
rnacentral:lncRNA from 1 species